UCCUUCAGUCUUCCCCUCACAUGGCCCAUCUCCCCACACUUUACUUCACCUCUGAGAAGAGGGAGGCCCCUCACAGGUAGCCAACACACUCUAUCACUUCAGGUCAUUGCAGGACUAGGUACACUCUCCCUCUGAGGCUAGGCAAAACAGCUCAGUUUCAAGAACAGAAUUAAAGUGAGAAUUCUUAAAUAAAAGACAUAAGAAUACUUUAAACCCUGCUCCAAACAGACACGUUAAGCAAUCAUGAACACUAUUUUUGUUUUGUUUUGUUCUGUUUUACAAUGCUUAGAAAAUAAAGGAAUGUAUAUGUUGUAGUUCUUAUUGUGGUUGUCUAAUUAAGACAACCCAAUAUCAACUAAAAUAAAUGAAUAAAUAAAAGAGCCGUAACACUAAUAUCCUCAGAGAAUCUCCCAAACAUGCAUAACUCAGUCAUUUUCAUUGACUGGCUGGUGAACAACACACAAAAAAGGAGAAUAUCUGAGCCUUGCUCUCUUCCAGAGGCACAUAGCCCAAGGAAGAAAUACAGACUGACUGGGGUAGAAGUAUUAAAUAUCCACACAUGGCCUUACAACUGCUCAGUGCUGACAAUAUUUUUUUUAAUUAUUUUAAAAACUAACACAAUGUUUCUUUGUUCACUGAAUGAUUUGUAUAUAUAUCCCCUUUAUUCCUCUUCUAUAGAUUUUAGUAUCUUCUUUCUUAUCUAUUUUAUUCUCCUAAUAACAAACUUCUAUCUAGCAUCUAUCUAUAUAUCUAACUAACUUUCAUUUUAUUUUGAUUCUCAGUAUGUUUCUCUUGCCUUCAUUGGGGGCUCUGCUCCUUCUGGGUCUAUCCCAAGAGAAAGAGUGGGGGAGGUUUCUAGAGUUUAAAACAAAGAGGUAGCACAUUUUUUACUUUAAAUAUUCUAACUUUCUUUUUAUUCAUUUUCUUCUCUCCUAUUUUUCUAUCUAUCUAUUAUGUUUGAUAUGUUUUGGUUAUUUCUGCUAUGAUGAAUCCUAUUAUUUCUAUGAUGGUUCAAGAUGUGAUUAUUAGCACUUAGUUUUUAUCUUAUUCUUGUAUGUGUUUUACUGCUACUUGUUGCUGAUAUUUUUAUUUCUCCUUAAUACAUGGAGCUUUAAUGGCCAUGCCUCCUGUGUAGACGUUCUGCCACUAAGUGAAAGCCUCAGUCCAAAGAAUAGGGGAGAUAAAAACAUCUCUAUGUCAAUGACUACUUUCCAAAUAGAUAAAGGAAGAGAAUAGGAGUUCUGAAGACCCAUUCGUGGACUUUCAUGACUACAGCAAGUAUAAAAAGAAGCAGCAAAAAGUACAAGGGCACACAUUUUUGAGAAACUUCAGACAAAGCCUUUCAAAGCAUGCAUUACCAAUAAAAACAAGAGGAAUAAUUACAGAGGGUACAUCCUACACAUUGCUCCAUCAACAUGAUAUCUUCCUGACUGUGCCCUUCCCCCAGCUUGUAUAGGCUAAACAAACCCUGGUGGUUUUACAGCCUGGCUUCACCACAUUUGCAUUUUCUCGACCAGAGCUUUGAGAGGCUGACUACCUGCUGAGCUUGCUUUGCAACACAAUCCAGCUGAAACAAAGAAUAGAUCUGUGUUUUUUCCUAAUCAGAGCUGAAAAUUAAACUUUGAUCCUUGAUC
rnacentral:lncRNA from 1 species